UAGUCCACGCCGUAAACGAUGGACACUUGGUGUUGGAGGUAUUGACCCCUUCAGUGCCGUAGCUAACGCGUUAAGUGUCCCGCCUGGGGAGUACGGUCGCAAGAUUAAAACUCAAAGAAAUUGACGGGGGCCCGCACAAGCGGUGGAGCAUGUGGUUUAAUUCGAUGCAACGCGAAAAACCUUACCUGGGUUUGACAUAUACAGGAAGUAUUCAGAGAUGAGUACGUCUUCGGACCUGUAUACAGGUGCUGCAUGGCUGUCGUCAGCNCGUGUCGUGAGAUGUUGGGUUAAGUCCCGCAACGAGCGCAACCCCUAUCUUUAGUUGCCAGCAUUUAGUUGGGCACUCUUAGAGAGACUACCGACGUUAAAGUCGGAGGAAGUGGGGAUGACGUCAAGUCUCAUGGGCCCUUAUACCCAGGGGCUACACACGUGCUACAAUGGGUGAGUACAGAGGGGUUGCGAGACCGUGAGGUCAAGCUAA
rnacentral:rRNA from 1 species